rnacentral:SRP_RNA from 1 species
GCUGGGUGUGGUGGCGCACACCUGUAGUCCUAGCUACUUGGGAGGCUGAGGCAGGAGAAUCGCUUGAACCAGGGAGGCGGAGGUUGCAGUGAGUCGAGAUCGUGCCACUGCAGUCCAGCCUGGGCAACAGAGCCAGACUCUGUCUCAA